UACGGAGGGUGCAAGCGUUAUCCGGAUUCACUGGGUUUAAAGGGUGCGUAGGUGGGUCUGUAAGUCUGUGGUGAAAUCUCUGAGCUUAACUCGGAAACUGCCAUGGAUACUAUAGAUCUUGAAUACCGUGGAGGAUAGCGGAAUAUGUCAUGUAGCGGUGAAAAUGCUUAGAUAUGACAUAGAACACCAAUUGCGAAGGCAGCUGUCUACCCGAAUAUUGACACUGAGGCACGAAAGCCAGGGGAGCAAACGGG
rnacentral:rRNA from 1 species